rnacentral:rRNA from 1 species
AGCGAACGCUGGCGGCAGGCCUAACACAUGCGAGUCGAACGGAUCCUUCGGGAUUAGUGGCGGACGGGUGAGUAACGCGUGGGAACGUGCCCUUUGGUUCGGAACAACUCAGGGAAACUUGAGCUAAUACCGGAUGUGCCCUUCGGGGGAAAGAUUUAUCGCCAUUGGAGCGGCCCGCGUCUGAUUAGCUAGUUGGUGAGGUAACGGCCCACCAAGGCGACGAUCAGUAGCUGGUCUGAGAGGAUGAUCAGCCACACUGGGACUGAGACACGGCCCAGACUCCUACGGGAGGCAGCAGUGGGGAAUCUUGCGCAAUGGGCGAAAGCCUGACGCAGCCAUGCCGCGUGAAUGAUGGAGGUCUUAGGAUUGUAAAAUUCUUUCAGCGGGGACGAUAAUGACGGUACCCGCAGAAGAAGCUCCGGCUAACUUCGUG